UACGGAGGGGGCUAGCGUUGUUCGGAGUUACUGGGCGUAAAGCGCGCGUAGGCGGCUUUGUAAGUUAGAGGUGAAAGCCCGGGGCUCAACUCCGGAAUUGCCUUUAAGACUGCAUCGCUAGAAUUGUGGAGAGGUAAGUGGAAUUCCGAGUGUAGAGGUGAAAUUCGUAGAUAUUCGGAAGAACACCAGUGGCGAAGGCGACUUACUGGACACAUAUUGACGCUGAGGUGCGAAAGCGUGGGGAGCAAACAGG
rnacentral:rRNA from 1 species